GAUACGACUCUCGGCAAUGGAUAUCUCGGCUCUCGCAUCGAUGAAGAGCGCAGCGAAAUGCGAUACGUGGUGCGAAUUGCAGAAUCCCGCGAAC
rnacentral:rRNA from 2 species